rnacentral:rRNA from 1 species
AUGUGUUCUAUGGUGACUCUGAUGGAGAGUAUAUCUCCAAGCUGUUGCGUGCAAUCUUUGCUGAGCAGACUCUGGUUCUCUUAUCCUGGUGCUCAUGCUCAAAAUGGUGUGGCUGAACGCAAGCAUCGUCACCUUCUUAAGACGGCUCCUCCAUUGAUGGUCACCACCUCUCCUUCACUGCACUUUUGGGCCGAGUCUGUCUCCACUUCCAUCUAUCUCAUCAACCUUCAGCAAUAUAUUGCUCUGCAGGGUGGCGCUCCUUUCGAGCGUCUAUUUGAUGCUUUCGCUUUAAUUGUUUGGUUGUGCUUGCUAUGCCGUUCAUGCCCAGGUGAACGCACCAAACUGAUUGCUCAGUCUGUUGAGUGUCUUCUUAGGAUACAACGAUGA